AUGGACGUUCUGUGCAGAUUGGAUCUGCCUGAUAAAUUCAGGACCCAAAGAGUUGUCAGUUAUCUGUUGUUUGCUUCAGUAAACCCCUUUAAAUGUUUAUGACCGGCGGGAAUGUUGAGCCACCAGAGGGUGCGCUGAGUCUAGUUUGCAUACUCAAGCAUUGCAAUUACUGUUCUUCUAUUUUAAAAGGCCUUAUGUGUUAUCGUAGGUAUUGAAAUGGGCUUUGACAAGAAGUAAAAAGAUCCCAAUUUUCCUGUAGCGUGUCAAGUUACCCCCAAAUACAUCAUCGGCUAUAAAAAUGACUUGUUGCGUGAAUUAGAAUGAGUAAAACUGUAUAACACUGUCAUUUGCAAUAAAUACGUUUUGAAUCUCAUUUUGAUAUCCCUUCAUAUAAAUAUGUUUGGUUUAAGUCGAUGGUAAUCCAGAACAAACGAAAAUGAAUAUGAAUAGAUUUGUAAUGUGUCAAAAAUGUUAGACGUCUGCCUAAUUUAAUAUUCAUUUCACACAAAUUCCCUUAAAAAUACUAAUAUACACAAAGCCAGUGUUGUUGAAUACUUCCAGAGUUGGAUCUUAGAGAAAUGGUAGUUACCUGCUGGGAGUUUUAGUUUAUAUUUUUAGAAUAUAAAAUAAUGAUUCUUAUUUUGGAGUUUACUGCCUCUUGUGUCAAGCAGGCCUCUGCCAUUUUUGUAGCAGAGCUUAGUCAGUAUUUCAUGGUAAAUGUGGGCAUUAAAGAAAAUAGUUUUCCCUGAGAAUUCCGUCUCCCUUUCUCUCAAUUUCCUUUCUGUGAACUUUAUAGUUUUGUAUGUUUUGUUAGAAGAGCGCAAACUAACUCUUUCCUAGGAUGGUUAAGCUCACCAGGAUGAAUAUUUUUCACUUAUAAUAAUAAUCUCAAAAUGCAUGUAGCCAAAAAACGUUUUGUUUCUCAGGGCAUCAAGUUAUCAGCAGAGGUCAAACCGUUUGUUCCCAAACACGCGGCGGUAACUGUGGCAUGGUCAGAACCCUCAGCAGCAUGUGUCUUUCCUAGGUACUUAACUACAUGCUACCCAUUUGUUCAGGAACCAGCGCUGGAAAACGUUGCGGGAGAUACUACGCUCAGUGACUACUCCAGCUGCUCUUACUCGUCCGAUGUUGUUUCAAGUGUAUACCCAAUAGCAAGCUCACAAUAUCAUGCUAACAACUCUGCAUACUACAGUAGUUCUGGAAGAGUCAGUGAAUCUGCUGAACAAGCAUAUCCAGUCAGACCAGAAAGUAGCAAUGUUUCAAAGCAGAGAAGGUCAAAAGAGGGUGAGAGAAAAUUAGACAAGAGAAGGCGGGAUGGAGAGGACUCCUCUGGCAGAAUUGUGAACAGGACUUCUUUCCAGACGUCUGCAUGCAGUAGGGAUUCCACGAAACCAGACAGGUUCAAUAAAGCUGCAAACAAGAAGUCAACAGAAACUCCAAAAAGAGAGACUCUUCCUGUACCUGCUGUUGAAGCUCCUGUUUUGGAUUUCUCCAAGUCACACAGUUUGGGAAGAAGUGAGGUAUUGGAUGUGCAGCGUAGAAGCGGAUCGGUAUGUUCGGCGGAAAAUAGCGUCACAUGCCUUAGUCAACCACUGAAGACGCAGACGUCUCCUUUGUUCAACACGGAGGAAAAUGUUUCUAUGGAAAGCAAAGCUCCAUCAAAAACUUUAGAAGAAACAGUAGUCAGCUUAAUUCCUUCUUCAUUUGAUGGUAGAGCACUUCCUCAAAAAUCUGCCGAUGGUUCUGCUCAGCCGCAUGUGUCUUGGGCCAUGGUUCUUUCACAGCCGCCAAAGAAAACUGUGUCAUUGCCAGCAUCUGAAGGUCUUUCCAGAAGCAAAGGGAAGCAGGACAGUCAGGCAAAGUCAGAAACAAGACAUGAUGCUAGUGAAACUGAGCCUGAAGAAGGGUCAGAAAAGAAGAAAAAAAAGAAGAAAAAGAAAAAGAAACCUAAAUCAUCUGUUGGAGUAGAGAAACCUCAAAAUGAAACUGCUACAGUACAGGAACCACCAAGGAUUGAGGAUGCUGAAGAGUUUCCUGAUCUGGCAGCUGCUUCUGAUAGGAGAAACCGGCUAGGAUCUCAGAAGUCAUCAUUUUCCCCUGCUGUCAGAAAGCAGUCUAAAGUCCAUCUGCCCGAAGAGUCUUGUGAUAGUUAUUUUCCCAAGCUGGAUGGAAUGCCCACGGUGGAUGGAAUGUCAGGGAAGCAAGCUACAUCUGUUGCAUUAGAAAGAAAGAAAAUACAGGAAACAUCCAAGAACAGUGGUAAGAAGAGUCAAAUUCCCGUGCAGUUGGAUUUGGGUGGCAUGUUGGCAGUCUUGGAGCAGAAACAGCAAACGGGGAAGUCAAAACAGUCUUCUAAACCUGUGGUGUUUUCAGUUGGUGGUGCCAUACCAUUGCUUUCUAAAGAACCUGCUACAGCAACAAAAAAUCACCGGUUAAACCAAGGAAAGAUGCCUCAUAACCCUUUGGAUUCCAGCGCUCCUUUGGUAAAGAAAGGGAAGCAGAGAGAAGUCCCUAAAGCAAAGAGACCAACACCUCUUAAAAAGAUUAUUUUAAAAGAAAGAGAACAGCGAAAGCAGCAGCACCUGUUAGAACAGACAGCGAUACCAAAAGAUGGAGAUAACAUUUGUCAGACUGUAGAAAAUACUACUGAAGAUGAAACACUGCCACAGGAUAGCCAAGCAGCUGUCCCUGUAACUCAAGUUGCUGUGGCUCAGAGUAACUCUGAAGGGUUUCCGGAGGGCUCAGGGAUCGAGGAUUCUACAGAAAGCUCUACAGCUUCAAAGCAGCUAAACUCCAGUCUUCCAAAAAUCCACAGUAGGAGAUUUAGAGAUUAUUGCAGCCAGGUACUUAGUAAAGAAGUUGACAGCUGUGUGACAGAUCUCCUAAAAGAACUGGUUCGUUUCCAAGAUCGCCUGUAUCAGAAAGACCCAGUAAAGGCCAAGAUAAAACGCAGGCUUGUUAUGGGCCUUAGAGAAGUUUUGAAACAUCUGAGGCUGAAAAAACUGAAGUGUGUCAUCAUCUCUCCUAACUGUGAAAAGAUCCAAUCAAAAGGUGGGUUGGAUGAGACCCUACACAACAUUAUCGACUGUGCCUGUGAACAAAAUAUCCCCUUUGUCUUUGCCCUUAAUCGCAAGGCCCUAGGCCGCUGUGUGAAUAAAGCAGUGCCUGUGAGCGUGGUGGGAAUUUUUAGCUAUGAUGGGGCUCAGGACCAUUUUCAUAGAAUGGUACAGCUGACCACAGAGGCCAGGAAGGCAUACAAAGAUAUGAUAGCAGCUUUAGAGGAAGAAGCUGAAGGAGAACUAAGUGAAAAACCCUCCAGCAUUUUAACUGCUGAAUAUGGAAAAAGUGGCUUAUCAGAAACCAGUAAAACAUCUUCCAGAGACUCUGAUGAGGAUGUACCAAAUUAUAUUAAAAUCUGGAAAAAAAAGCUUGAAGAAGAGUAUAACCCAUAUGCCCUGGAAUUGGAAAAGAAUGCAACCACUGACGUGCUGGCAUUGAAUUCAGAAGAGCAUCAACAUCAAAUGACAAGCCUAGAGAACUCCCUUUUCUGCAGUGGAGGAUACUUGCAUAAGAAGUUCUGUCAAGCAUUCUGAAAGAUGCGAUUGGUGCCAGGUGCUACAGCCAGCCUCUCUGAAGUAUGUUUGUAAAUGCUUUACCACCUUUACCAGUUGUAGUGCAAUACUUCAAAAAGUAGCUGCCCUGUGAAGCUAGAGGUGAUAUAUAUUUUUAAAAAAAACUCUAAAUAUUAAAUUCAAAGUCCAAACAAUUUUGUAGAAUGUAAGAAAGAUGUAUAAAAAUCUGCUAUAAUAUAUUGAUUCGAUAAAGUAUGGUUGAAGUGCAAUUCUUUGUGACCUAAAAGAAGUCAACUGUUCUGGUGGGCAGUUAAUGGAUAUCUGGACUGUCAGUUUUGAGGAAGAACAUGUUCCUUUAAAGAAAGAAAGUAAAUAAGUGAACCACCAUUGGGCUGAAAUGCACAGUUGUUCACUGUUUGCAAUCGUCUUUUGGCAUUAGUUUCACCUAAUCUUAAAUGGAAAUUAAGGAUGAAAGAUCUCACUGAUGAAGGAUGGUUUUGACUUGCAAGACAUAUCCUUGGUCCCAAGGUAGGUUGCUGUUUGUUGGCACUCAUGCCACUGAUGCACAUUUAAAGCUGCUAAACCUUUUUUCCUAGUCACUGCAUGGUAGCAUGGAAGGGUAGUUGCUGGAGAGUGCGCGUCCUGGUGUUUGCUGUAUUUAUUUUCUGUACAGCUUUUGUCUUAUCCUAGAGGAGCAUUCAGAGCGACUUUGGAAGCGUUACAGCUUAUACAGAAUCUUAGCCACUUUCUAAGGAGAAGGUGAAGUAACUCCUUAAGGAAUUCACUGUAUGGGGUUAUUGAUCUGUUUACUAAUUGUGUUAAACCAAUGUUUUUUCAUAGUGACUUGAGAGGCAUUUAGUAUAUAAACUCCUACAGAAAUGGUCUUGCACAGAUUAAGAAUGUGUGAUGAAGCCCUGUUGCCAUAACUGAUUGAUUGGCCCACACGUGUGUUCAAAGAAAUGAAGAUUAGAAAAAAGCCUGUGAUCUACUUAAUUACAGCUGAAGUGACUGGCAUCAGAUAACCAGAGAUGGUUCCAACAUGGGAUUGGUGGCCUCUCUUGUAGCAAUUUUGCAUCAUCUUGUCAUGUUCACUGAUGGCAGUUCUCCAGCUAUCAAGUUCUUUGGUCCAUCCAUCCUGGCCAGUGCUAUCUGAAAAUAGUUAUGUAAUCAUCCUGUUUACAAAGUAAUACCCAAGUGCCACCACCGAGGAGCCAUGAGAGCCAGGACGGUAAUACCAACACUUACAAAGGGUUUUUCUUGUUCUUGUUUGCAAACACACACUGUUAGAUGUAACAGGGCCACACUAGUCCCCAGUUCCUGAAACAGGCGGUGCCCACGCUGUCAUAAGACAGUGACAGCCUUAACCUAUCACAGUCUAAAGCGGGAAAAAGGAUGCUUUUAGUUUAAUGUCUGCGUGGUUUUUAUUUAAAAGUGGUCGGAAAUAUUCAAUUGAUCUCCCAAACUUAAGCGAUGACUUAAGUCCUUUUCUGUUAACAGCUUACAAAAUUUAGAUUAUGACCUUAAUAUAUCUUAUAUAGAGACUUUAAAUAAUAAAAAAGAAGCGGCCUGUCACAGAUCUACAUGGAAGGAAUGGUUUUAUCAUACCAAGGUGCCUCUAAGUGAUUCAGCCAGUGCAGAAAUUAUUAAAGGAGGCAGUACAAAACCACAGUAUGCAAAAUGACAAAUUAACAGUUAUUAUCAGAUUACUGCAGCCACAGACACCAGAGGUUUGGGGACAAGAAGGAUAUAGAAAUUUAUAUUUAUAUUUAUAAUACAUAAAGCAGGAUAUAGAACUGGUUAACAAGGUACAAAUUUAGCAUUCCCACAUGAGGAUAAAGAUAAACCAAGCGUGGAUUAAUAAAUAACUGUACAGAUUAAAGUCGGCAGUACUGCUUCGGCAAAGCACACCAUGUUAAUCUCAAUAUAUGCUACAUAAAAAUUAGCAAAAUGUUUUAGAAAGUUUUCAAGUAUUUAUGCAGCGGAUUGAAUUUUUCUGGCAGAGGCAAAGCUUUUCCUUUCUAGGCUAUCAGUUUUACUUAAGGGACUUAACUGCUGCGCAAACACACACAGUAGCAUUUUCAUGUUCGAAAAACUGCUGAUGACACACCAGUCCACAAGCAUAAUUAUCAAGAAACACCUAUUAAGACUUUCAGAAGAGGUAACGUUCUGGGGAUUAUUUUAUACAACAGUCCACAAAAAAGCAGGUGGAAAAAUAGAAAAUGGUUUUAAAAAAAAAAGUGUAUUUUCUGUUUGUCUUCCACUUAGAGCAAGAUUACAAUUUAGAGCAAAAUCCCACCUAGCCUCAGUUGCAAGACACUGAAAUGCCGUGAUUUAUAAUCCUAGACUCAAACGUUUUUUUGGCCAGCACGAAUCACUUUUCUAAGCAGCGCCUUGCCGCUUUGGGUGCCACAUGUCUCCGUUCAUCUCUCGGCUGGGCUCCCUAGCUAGGCACACGCACACCGUAACCACAGGCACCCCAAUGCAUUGCAGCCCCGAGGGGAGACAGCCCACCUGGGGCACGGCGGGAGCGACUUGCAGAGCCCCCUCCCGUCCGCAGCAGCACGUGGGGAGGGGAAAGCUCCCCGCUCCUGCGGGUUGGCAGGUCUGUGACGGAUGAGCUCCUCCAGGGGCAAAUCUAGGACUAGUCAAGGCUUCGGGGAGGGAGGACGCCUCUGUUGAGACCUGUUCUGCGUUAUUACUUGGCCUUAUGAGGAAAGCCAAACCUCAGGCAUUUGGACACGGCCUCAGGCAAGGUCUGUUUUGGACUCGCUACGCAGACUCUUUUGUCUAGUUUUACGCAGUUUGCAGCAGGGCCCCGGGACGUGCCAUGUAUCGCAUUUUUGCCACUCUCCUGCAUGCCUUUCAGCAGAACUUUAAGCUUCACUUAAGAGAGAAAAACAGUAAUAAAUCAUUCGUGAUUUUGAUUCUGGGGAAUUAUGGAUCGUCUCCCACACUGACGUGGGAAGCUUUCUUGCAUUAUGCCCUACCUUUAAAAUAGCAUAACCGCGGGGAACAGGCAUUGUACAUGGAUGUUAUCAAGCACCCAUCUCGAUACCUCGAAGAAAUAAUAACUCCUUUCAAGCCUGAUGCUGCGUUUGCAGAACGUUUCUUUUCGUUCCCAGGGCUAUUUUAAUGAGAGCGAAAAGUUAAGGAGCAGUAAUGGAAAACCUCCAGCUUCAGACAAACUAAGGAAGGAGGUCGGAAGUCUUGACAUCAUGGAAAACAAAUAGAGCCUGAACCUGCAGGCCAAAACCACAAAGCAUAAUGCUGUUCACUGUUUCUUAUCGUCUAUAAAUCUAUUUAAAUUGUUGCUCAGCAUAAUAUUCUAGUUACCUAACUUGUCUCUGAAAUUAAGGUCAAGGAUAUACUUAUACUCUGCAGUUCGGGGGCGGGGGGUCAAAGUAGUAGCAUUGAUUCUGCUAAAAUGUGUUUAAAAAAGCUUGUUUCUACUAUAUCUAUAUUCAACAGAGCACAGUAGAGAUAAAUUAUAAAGCAGUCCUGCACAUCAUCCACUCACCGCCUUUUCCCCUGCACCAGAUGGUGUAGUAGUCUGUUCAAUUUAUUUCAAACCUGCCUCAAGUGUCUUCAAAGUGUUCAAAAAUGCUGUGACAGCAGACAAAGUUACAAUAAGGAAAGUAUACAGGAAACUUAAUAUUUGCUAGCACCUAUCUAACAGGUCUUUGGAGACAUGUGAAAACAUGAGACUUUUCAGGGCAGUAGAGAGAAAAACUGGAAGCAAUUUAAGGGGGCAGAUGUAUUUCCUUUUUUUCUGGAAGGGCAAGGGUAACUCAUUCUUAAAAAACUCCUUUUUCCAGCAAAAGUAACAAAACCUGACAAGUGGCUGUUUGUGCUCUAUCCACUUUAUCUUAAUGCUGCUGUUGAAAUGAGCCUGUUACAAGGUUGGGAAGUAUUCUCCUUAGGCAGGCUUUCAGAUUAAAACGCGCGGGAUGAAUGAGAGAUGAAUAAGCGAACUAACUCCUGCUGCGUUUCCAGACAGCUUGAAGCAGACGUUUAUGAUUCAGAAAAAGAAGAAACUCAAUCGUCCUCAUUAAAAUAACGUUAGGAACCUGAUUAAAAAAAAAAAGCAGCUUCCGUUUUCUGAGCAGAUCAGGUGGCAAUCUGUCUGCGUUAUAUAUAGACGGGGAACCUUGCUUACCCCACAUCCUUUAAUCAGAAGGCCGCCUAAGACACUUAACUCUGUCAGUCUCAUUUUGCUCUUCUGUUCUUUGCAAACACAUUUUGCGUUAUAAUCAUUGCCAGGGGAAAUAAAGUUCUGUUACAGCUAUGUUUUACUUAAAGAAAUAUCAACUAUCAGUGAAGGAACGUGAAUAAAUCCAAGCAGAGAGCUUCCUGGUAAACGUGUCUGCUUAUCCCCCAGGAAUAAAUUUAUACAUCCUCACAGACAGGUCCCGGAAGGGUGCAGAAGGCCUGUAUCAGUUUGGUAUGCUGGUUUUCAUUUAUUUAUUUUUAAUCAACGGCACAGAAAUUGCAGUUCUGAGUAAGAGGAGGAGUGCGCUGCAUCAGCCGAAUGUCUUAUCUGCUGAAGAGAAUGAAGCACCCAUCCACAAGAUGAAGUCUAGUGAUUCACUGCUUUGUGAGAGAAGGUGGAAACUCCUUCCCCAGUGACUAAUCUCAGCCUCCAAGUAUGAGGACGCCUGGUCUCCCCGAGUCAUUACUGCACCUUUCAGAGCCCGAGUCUUGUAGCAGCUCCCUGCACUAUUUGUCCCUACCCUUCUGCAGCACUGAAAUCCACAGGGUGACUUUAAAACACAGCGCCUUCUGUCUUAAGUUUACUGCCGAGGCAAUUACAGUUACUGACAAUUUUUAAGCAGCAGCACGUGAAAAACGUGUUGAAACAGACAUCAACAGAUACCAAAUACAGAGACAUCACUGGAUAAAAAAGGAAGCAAUUUAAAAAUAAAUUCCUGAUCUGUAGCAUGAUUAUCAGACAGACUACUUAGUGUAACCUCAUGGAGCAAAAGACGUCUAUUAUUCUCAAUUUUCUCAUGCUGGAAAUAAAAAGCUUCUACGCACACUGCCUAUAGCAGCAGUGAACAUUUUUAAGCUUAUUCUCUUAUUUCAAGGAAACAAAGUUACAUCUUAAGACCUUUUAUAACCAUUAAAACUCACUUAGCUUAAACAGACCACUACCAUCCAAACAAAAGCUGAAAGACAAAUGUUGAAUUUCCAUGGAAAAAACAGCUUCGACCUUCAACUAUAUACCUCAGAUAACUUUCGUUUUAUGAAGUAAAUGUUAUCAUUACCGUAAGAGCUUUACUGUUUAAAAUAGUAAUAAUUAAAAAAAAAAUGCAUCUGACCAGGUCUAGGAAAAUAAACUCAAUACCAAACCAAUCAAGCUGGAUUCAACUGAAGUAUUUUUAAAAUGGUAUACAAUGCUGAGUGUGAAAAUAUUUCCUUGCUAAACUUAUCCAUACACAAUCGCGAUUCCGUCGGCGACUUCGGCACAGAAAGGAGCCCGUUCAAGUCAACCGACUGCUAACGUACUUAAGCAGGCGGCUAAACCAGACCCCUUUUUGGCAUUACAGUAUUGGCAGCGCCCAACUCUGAAAAGUAUUAAACCGCCGACUGUCACCGUGACGUUCGUAAGACAUCCCGAAACGGUCGCCUUUUACAUCAAACGCGUUCAUGAGGACACGGCCACACAUCUAAAGCUUUACCGCAGAAAGUGCUGGCUCA